AGUCCCUUAGUGUAGUGGUCCAUCAUACGAGACUCUGGAUCUCGUGACCCUGGUUCGAAUCCGGGAGGGACUACCAACCC
rnacentral:tRNA from 2 species